GCGGCAACAGCUCAAAUUUGAAAUCCGGCUCCUGUGGGAGCCUGAGUUGUAAUUUGGAGAGGAUGCUUCGGCUGAGGCCCUGGUCUAAGUUCCUUGGAACAGGACGUCACAGAGGGUGAGAACCCCGUAUGUGGUCAGGGAUCGACGCCGUGUGAAGCUCCUUCGACGAGUCGAGUUGUUUGGGAAUGCAGCUCUAAAUGGGAGGUAUAUUUCUUCUAAAGCUAAAUACCGGCGAGAGACCGAUAGCGCACAAGUAGAGUGAUCGAAAGAUGAAAAGCACUUUGGAAAGAGAGUUAAAAAGUACGUGAAAUUGUUGAAAGGGAAGCGCUUGCAACCAGAUAUGCGCGCAGUUGUUUAGCCGGGCUUCCUGCCCGGUGCACUCUUCUGCGUGCAUGCCAGCAUCGGUUUGGGCGGCCAGAUAAAGGCCGUGGGAAUGUAGCUCCUCUCGGGGAGUGUUAUAGCCCGCGGCGGAAUGUGGCCAGCCUAGACCGAGGUCCGCGCUUCGGCUAGGAUGCUGGCGUAAUGGUUUUAAGCGGCCCGUCUUGAAACACGGACCAAGGAGUCUAACAUCUAUGCGAGUGUUUGGGUGCGAAACCCAUGCGCGUAAUGAAAGUGAACGGAGGUGGGAGCCCUCACGGGCGCACCAUCGACCGAUCCUGAUGUCUUCGGAUGGAUUUGAGUAAGAGCAUAGCUGUUGGGACCCGAAAGAUGGUGAACUAUGCCUGAAUAGGGUGAAGCCAGAGGAAACUCUGGUGGAGGCUCGCAGCGGUUCUGACGUGCAAAUCGAUCGUCAAAUUUGGGUAUAGGGGCGAAAGACUAAUCGAACCAUUUAGUAGCUGGUUCCUGCCGAAGUUUCCCUCAGGAUAGCAGUAACGAUUUCAGUUUUAUGAGGUAAAGCGAAUGAUUAGAGGCCUGGGGGUUGAAACAACCUUCACCUAUUCUCAAACUUUAAAUAUGUAAGAAGUCCUUGUUACUUAGUUGAACGUGGACAUUCGAAUGUACCGUUACUAGUGGGCCAUUUUUGGUAAGCAGAACUGGCGAUGCGGGAUGAACCGAACGCGAUGUUAAGGUGCCGGAAUGCACGCUCAUCAGACACCACAAAAGGUGUUAGUUCAUCUAGACAGCAGGACGGUGGCCAUGGAAGUCGGAAUCCGCUAAGGAGUGUGUAACAACUCACCUGCCGAAUGAACUAGCCCUGAAAAUGGAUGGCGCUCAAGCGUGCUACCUAUACAUCGCCGCCAGGGUAGAAACGAUGCCCUGGCGAGUAGGCAGGCGGGAGGCCC
rnacentral:rRNA from 1 species